UCAAUUUAGGCUUAUACACAUAAACCAUUGAUGGAAUAUUUCCAUGUGGAAAGUAUCUCAAACUUAACAUGACUCAAAUAAAAAUUCAUAAACUUCUCAUCUACCCAAUUUCUAUUGCUUUUGAUUUUCUAAUCAAGCCCAACUUCAAUGAGGGGAUUUGGUUGUAAAAUAUAUGUCCUGGAAGUGGGGGUGGAAAGUAAGUCUUUGGCCAUAGGCAAGGAUUUAUAAUCUUCUUAUUGAGAUGGAAAAGUCAGUAAUUGGGAAUAAUAAUGCAAUCUCCCAUGGGAC
rnacentral:lncRNA from 1 species